GCCCGGUUAGCUCAAUCGGUAGAGCGUGAGACUCUUAAUCUCAAGGUUGCGGGUAAGAUAAUACCAACAAUCA